UUUUAGUGAUUUAUAGGUAGUGCUUGGUCCACAUGGACCCAUGGUUAUAAGUAGUGUUCCAUAUCGACUUUGCACAUGCACUACGUAUUGAGCAUUUUUUUGUGUGUGAUGUACGAAAUAUUGUAAUGUGUGGUGUUGUAUAAUGCUGCCGAUAGUUGAACCAUCUUGUUAUAUUGUGAAACUCGCAUUUCGCUCUAUAUUUAGUUCAUUUUCACUCGUUUUCCUUGGAUAGAUAUGUUGAACACCUGUCACGUGGUAACCAGGUGAUGUGACAGAAGCAGGGGAGCAGUGCUGUUGACCAGGAGCCAGUGCUACACCUCCUGGGAUCGGAGAGUGCUUGUUGAAUGAUUGGAGAUCACACCCAAUAAAGGACCAUGGUGGGCUGCUUUUGGCAAGUAUAGCUUCAGCAACUCUUCAGCUAAACGGAAUUAGCAGUUACUAAGCUGAAAAUGAUUUAUUUUAUUUUUUGCAUAAUAUAUUUUGAAACUAUAUGAAAUUUCGGAAAUUUUAUUUUUCUAAUUUUGCUACAAUAAAAAUAUGGCAUAUUUUUCUUUA